GACGAACGCUGGCGGCGUGCUUAACACAUGCAAGUCGAACGGAAAGGCCCUGCUUUUGUGGGGUGCUCGAGUGGCGAACGGGUGAGUAACACGUGAGUAACCUGCCCUUGACUUUGGGAUAACUUCAGGAAACUGGGGCUAAUACCGGAUAGGAGCUCCUGCUGCAUGGGGGGGGUUGGAAAGUUUCGGCGGUUGGGGAUGGACUCGCGGCUUAUCAGCUUGUUGGUGGGGUAGUGGCUUACCAAGGCUUUGACGGGUAGCCGGCCUGGGAGGGUGACCGGGCACAGUGUGCUAGGGGAGGCGCCAGGGGGCAAUGGGGGGGAAGGGGGGGGAAAUUUGUCCAACGGGGCGGAGUGUGGGAAGAAGGACCCCGGGUUGGGAAGCACGGCCUUUGGGGAGGAAACGCAUUUAGCUUAUACCGAGGUGUGGUGACGGUAAAAGGAGAAAAAGCACCGGGUAACUUCGUG
rnacentral:rRNA from 1 species